rnacentral:rRNA from 1 species
AAUCAACGCUGGCGGCGUGCCUAACACAUGCAAGUCGAACGCGAAAGUCCCGCGAGGGAUAAGUAGAGUGGCAAACGGGUGAGUAACACGUGGGUGACCUGCCUUCGAGCGGGGGAUAACGUCCCGAAAGGGACGCUAAUACCGCAUGACAUCCUGCCUUUGAAGAGGUGGAGAUCAAAGCUGGGGAUCGCAAGACCUAGCACUCGAAGAGGGGCCCGCGCCUGAUUAGCUAGUUGGUGGGGUAACGGCUCACCAAGGCGACGAUCAGUAGCCGGCCUGAGAGGGCGGACGGCCACACUGGGACUGAGACACGGCCCAGACUCCUACGGGAGGCAGCAGUGGGGAAUUGUUCGCAAUGGGCGCAAGCCUGACGACGCAACGCCGCGUGGAGGACGAAGACCUCGGUCGU